rnacentral:rRNA from 1 species
AUACGUAGGGUGCGAGCGUUGUCCGGAAUUACUGGGCGUAAAGAGCUCGUAGGUGGUUUGUCGCGUCGUCUGUGAAAUUCCGGGGCUUAACUCCGGGCGUGCAGGCGAUACGGGCAUAACUUGAGUACUGUACGGGAGACUGGAAUUCCUGGUGUAGCGGUGAAAUGCGCAGAUAUCAGGAGGAACACCGGUGGCGAAGGGGGGUCUCUGGGCAGUAACUGACGCUGAGGAGCGAAAGCAUGGGUAGCGAACAGGAUUAGAUACCCUGGUAGUCCAUGCCGUAAACGGUGGGCGCUAGGUGUAGGGGUCUUCCACGACUUCUGUGCCGUAGCUAACGCAUUAAGCGCCCCGCCUGGGGAGUACGGCCGCAAGGCUAAAACUCAAAUGAAUUGACGGGG